rnacentral:rRNA from 1 species
GAUGAACGCUGGCGGCGUGCCUAACACAUGCAAGUCGAACGAUGAAGCAGAGAGACGCGAACUUCGGUUCUAACUUCACUCCGGAUUAGUGGCAGACGGUUGAGUACCGCGUGUGCAAGCUACCUCUUACAAAGGGAUAGCCUCGGGAAACCGAGAUUAAUACCAUCUGACACCAUCAUAAGGCAUCUUAAGAAUGGUAAAGGUACGGCGGUAAGGGAUGGGCUCGCGUCCCAUUAGCUGGUUGGUAAGGUAACGGCCCACCAAAGCGACGAAGGGUAAACGGGAUGAGAGAGAGGGCGGUCACAUUGAAGCUAGGACGCAGUCCGGAAUCCUACGGGAGGGGGGAAUGGGGGAUAUAGCACAAUGGAGUGAGCGCUGAUGGAGCGACGCCGCGUAAGCGAUGUUGGUAUUCAAUAAGAAAAGCUCUGUUAUAUGGGAAGAAAAGGACGGUACCAAAGGAGAAAGCCCCGGCUAAAUACGUG